GGGGGAAUAUUGCGCAAUGGGCGAAAGCCUGACGCAGCGACGCCGCGUGAGGGAUGAAGGUCCUCGGAUCGUAAACCUCUGUCAGGAGGGAAGAACCGCCACGGUGCUAAUCAGCCGUGGUCUGACGGUACCUCCAAAGGAAGCACCGGCUAACUCCGUGCCAGCAGCCGCGGUAAUACGGAGGGUGCGAGCGUUAAUCGGAAUCACUGGGCGUAAAGCGCACGUAGGCUGCUUGGUGAGUCAGGGGUGA
rnacentral:rRNA from 1 species